rnacentral:rRNA from 1 species
AUUGAACGCUGGCGGCAGGCCUAACACAUGCAAGUCGAACGGUAACAGGAAGAAGCUUGCUUCUUUGCUGACGAGUGGCGGACGGGUGAGUAAUGUCUGGGAAACUGCCUGAUGGAGGGGGAUAACUACUGGAAACGGUAGCUAAUACCGCAUAAUUUCGCAAGACCAAAGAGGGGGACCUUCGGGCCUCUUGCCAUCGGCUGUGCCCAGAUGGGAUUAGCUAGUAGGUGGGGUAACGGCUCACCUAGGCGACGAUCCCUAGCUGGUCUGAGAGGAUGACCAGCCACACUGGAACUGAGACACGGUCCAGACUCCUACGGGAGGCAGCAGUGGGGAAUAUUGCACAAUGGGCGCAAGCCUGAUGCAGCUAUGCCGCGUGUAUGAAGAAGGCCUUCGGGUUGUAAAGUACUUUCAGCGGGGAGGAAGGGAGUAAAGUUAAUACCUUUGCUCAUUGACGUUACCCGCAGAAGAAGCACCGGCUAACUCCGUG